AAUAGAUACCCCGGUAGUCCACGCCGUAAACGAUGGACACUAGCUGUCCGGCGCACGUUGGUGCGCUGGGUGGCCAAGCGAAAGUGAUAAGUGUCCCACCGUGGGGAGUACGUUCGCAAGAAUAGAAACUCAAAGGAAUUGGACGGGGGCCCGCACAAGCGGUGGAGCAUGUGGUUUAAUUCGAUGAUACGCGAGGAACCUUACCAGGGCUUAAAUGCAGUCCGACAGGAUUGGAAACAGUCCUUUCUUCGGACGGAUUGCAAGGUGCUGCAUGGUUGUCGUCAGCUCGUGCCGUGAGGUGUCAGGUUAAGUCCUAUAACGAGCGCAACCCCUGCCGUUAGUUGCCAGCGAGUAAAGUCGGGAACUCUAGCGGGACUGCCGGUGCAAACCGUGAGGAAGUGGGGAUGACGUCAAAUCAUCACGGCCCUUACGUCCUGGGCCACACACGUGCUACAAUGGCAGGUACAAUGGGCAGCCACUGCGCAAGCAGGCGCGAAUCCNAAAAACCCUGUCUCAGUUCGGAUCGGGGUCUGCAACCG
rnacentral:rRNA from 1 species